CCUACGGGUGGCUGCAGUAGGGAAUAUUGCGCAAUGGGGGAAACCCUGACGCAGCAACGCCGCGUGAGUGAUGAAGGCUUUCGGGUUGUAAAGCUCUGUUGUACGGGGAAAACGUUGCUAUGGCUAAUAUCCAUAGCAAGUGAUUGUACCGUAUAAGAAAGGACCGGCUAACUUCGUGCCAGCAGCCGCGGUAAGACGGGGGGUCCUAGCGUUGUUCGGGCGUGUGGGGGGUAUAGCAAGUGCAGGUUGUGAAAUCCUUGGGCUUAACCCAAGACGUGCAUUCAAAACUGCCAAACUUGAGUAUGGAAGAGGAUCGUGGAAUUCCUAGUGUAGUGGUGAAAUACGUAGAUAUUAGGAGGAACACCGGAGGCGAAGGCGGCGAUCUGGUCCAAUACUGACACUCAAACACGAAAGCGUGGGGAUCAAACAGGAUUAGAUACCCUUGUAGUC
rnacentral:rRNA from 1 species